AGAGUUUGAUCCUGGCUCAGGAUGAACGCUAGCGACAGGCCUAACACAUGCAAGUCGAGGGGCAGCGGGGAGCGAAGCUUGCUUUGCUCCGCCGGCGACCGGCGCACGGGUGAGUAACGCGUAUGCAACCUGCCCGUUUCAGCGGGAUAACCCGGAGAAAUCCGGCCUAAUACCGCAUGUGGCCGAGGGAAGGCAUCUUCUUUCGGCCAAAGGAGGCGACUCCGGAGACGGAUGGGCAUGCGUGACAUUAGCUUGUUGGCGGGGUAACGGCCCACCAAGGCGACGAUGUCUAGGGGUUCUGAGAGGAAGGUCCCCCACACUGGUACUGAGACACGGACCAGACUCCUACGGGAGGCAGCAGUGAGGAAUAUUGGUCAAUGGGCGAGAGCCUGAACCAGCCAAGUCGCGUGAAGGAUGACGGCCCUACGGGUUGUAAACUUCUUUUGUCAGGGAGCAAUUGGGUCCACGUGUGGGCUUAGCGAGAGUACCUGAAGAAAAAGCAUCGGCUAACUCCGUGCCAGCAGCCGCGGUAAUACGGAGGAUGCGAGCGUUAUCCGGAUUUAUUGGGUUUAAAGGGUGCGCAGGCGGUCUGUUAAGUCAGCGGUCAAAGCCCGGGGCUCAACCCCGGCCCGCCGUUGAAACUGGCAGUCUCGAGUUGGAGAGAAGUAUGCGGAAUGCGCGGUGUAGCGGUGAAAUGCAUAGAUAUCGCGCAGAACUCCGAUUGCGAAGGCAGCAUGCCGGCUCCACACUGACGCUGAGGCACGAAAGCGUGGGUAUCGAACAGGAUUAGAUACCCUGGUAGUCCACGCAGUAAACGAUGAAUGCUGGCUGUCCGGGGGGAUUGACCCCUGGGUGGCGAAGCGAAAGCGAUAAGCAUUCCACCUGGGGAGUACGCCGGCAACGGUGAAACUCAAAGGAAUUGACGGGGGCCCGCACAAGCGGAGGAACAUGUGGUUUAAUUCGAUGAUACGCGAGGAACCUUACCCGGGCUCAAACGGGGAGUGACUCAGGCAGAGACGCCUGUUUCCCACGGGAUACUCCCCGAGGUGCUGCAUGGUUGUCGUCAGCUCGUGCCGUGAGGUGUCGGCUUAAGUGCCAUAACGAGCGCAACCCCCGCGUGCAGUUGCUAACAGAUAACGCUGAGGACUCUGCACGGACUGCCGGCGCAAGCCGCGAGGAAGGCGGGGAUGACGUCAAAUCAGCACGGCCCUUACGUCCGGGGCGACACACGUGUUACGAUGGCAGGUACAGAGAGAAGCGAUGCGGCGACGCAGAGCGGAACUUCAAAGCCUGUCUCAGUUCGGAUUGGAGUCUGCAACCCGACUCCAUGAAGCUGGAUUCGCUAGUAAUCGCGCAUCAGCCACGGCGCGGUGAAUACGUUCCCGGGCCUUGCACACACCGCCCGUCA
rnacentral:rRNA from 1 species